ensembl:lncRNA
GUUCAUAUACAUAAUUCUGUUCAGAUUUUGGAGUAAACUGGUAAAAUAUUUUCACUUCUCCGUACUUUUCCUUAAAGAAGAUCUGAGCAUCAGAAUUGGUCAUCAGAGCCACACUUAGCUGGCCCUAAAAUCUUUUAUUUAAAAUAAAAAUAAUGUCUUUAACAAUCUAUUAUUUGCUUUACAAUAUACACCGAACAGCCAUAACAUUAAAACCACCUGCCUAAUAUUGUGUAGGUCCCCCUUGGGCUGCCAAAACGGAUCGGACCCGUUGAGGCAUGGGUUCCACAAGACCUCUGAAGGUGCCACCAAGACGUUAGCAGCAGAUCCUUUGAGUCCUGUCAGUUACCAGAUGGGGCCUCCAUGGAUCGGACUUGUUUGUCCAGCACAUCCCACAGUUGUGUUAUCAAUCAGAUUGAGAUUUGGGGAAUUUGGAUGCCAAGUCAGCACAUGGAAAUCUGUCAUAUUCCUCAAACCAUUCCUGAACAAUUUUUUGCAGUGUGGCACGGUGCAUUAUCCUGCUGAAUGAGGCCACUGCUAUUAGGGAAUACCGUUGCCAUGAAGGUGUGUACUUAGUAUGAAACAAUGUUUAGGUAGGUGGUACGUGUCAAAAUGAAUGCCAGGACCCAAGUUUUCCCAGCAGAACAUUGCCCAGAGCAUCACACUGCCUCUGAAUGGUUUGCUUUCUUCCCAAAGUGCAUCCUGGUACAAUCUCUGUCCAAGGUAAGUGAUGCACUGUAAACAUAAUGUAAAAGAAAACAUGAUUCUUUAGACCAGGCCACCUUCAUGGUCCAGUUCUGAUGCUCACAUGCCCAUUGUAGGUGCUUUCGGAGGUGUCAGCAUAAGCACUCUGACUGGUCUGCAACUACGUAGCCCUAUUUGCAGCAAGCUGCGAUGCACUGUGUGUUCUGAUACCUUUCCAUCCAACACAUCAACCUUGAGAACUAAUAUAUCCUACCACUUGACAGGUGCCACUGUAACGAGAUAAUCAACGUUAUUCACUUCACCUGUCAGUGGUUUUAAUUAUAUGGCUGAUUGGUGUAUUUUGCAUAUUGCGUUUUAAAAACAGAAUUUCGGAAUCUA